UAGUUUCAAGUGUUCGGUUAUCUUGAGACCUAUAUAUGUAUAAUCAAGUCUCGAGCCUAACGACUGCGCCAGACAGUUUUGUAUCCUACUGGCUGCGGCAGACAAGAUUCGGGAGCGCGUGUGGGCUUUCUCAAACUGGAGAGAUGACCGAAUAGAAGUGCAUGCUCUGAUCAACUGAAGGUAUAUCUUAUAAGAGAAAUUUAAGAAUUAUGGUAAAUUGUAAAAACACAAAAUGGCAUUGUUCUAUGAACCCAAAGAAUUGAAAGGAUUUCCGCAAAUGGUAAACGCUUCACAGAUAUUAUCUACUACGUAUAAUUAGUGUUCAAAUAUUUAUCACACGAAAUAUAAAUAUAGUAUUUUCUCAA